UAUUCUAUUGACACUCUUUAUUUAUUGGUCUCUCUCAAGUGAUAUUAUUUUAUAUUGUUUUUAGCAUCAAUGAUUGAGUUAUUUUCCAUUCUCUUCAACGGUGGUGUUAUGUAAUUUUUGGUAUUAUUUAGUUGGGGUUAGAUAGUUAUGGAUUGUUUAUUUCCCAUGUUCCCUACUUUCUUUGUUUUAGUGGAUUGAUUUCUUUAAUACAAACCUUCGACUUUUUAGAAGAAAAAAAACAUUUUUAGUUCUUGAGUUUUGAUCUAUAGCUUUAUUGUGUGAUAUGUAACAUUAAAAAAUUACAAAAGAAAUAUCUACAUUUAUAUUCUCCAUUUUCUCCAUCUUUGUUCUCUUUAAUUUUAAUGGACUAAUUAAUAUUUUGAUGAUAACAACUGACAAACAUGUUUUAGUUACGCAUUGUUUUAGUACUUUUUAAAGUGUCAGUUACUUAAAGUUUGAAAUAAUAAAGGAAACACAAUUUAAAUCACUCAAACCAGGCUAAAGAAAAAAUCAAUCAAAUGAAAAAUUGAUAAGCAAAACAAAAUCAUCGAAAAAUCUUAAUAUGGGGAUGAUGUGGUAUAUGACUCGAUGGUCAAUUAGUAGCGUUUUAACUCUAAGUUGUGAAAAUCAGAGUCAAAUUAGUAGUGACAUAACCAAGUGAAGCUUGAGAAGUGGAGUAGGCCAGUUGCGUCGAACUACUAUAAAUUUUUUUGUCUUUCUCUUAUUUGAUUUUGCAAUCAAUUAUUUUAUUAUUGUUUUGGGUAAAUAUAUUCUAGAAUCGUGGGUAAAAUGAUCCAAGAAGAGAAAGAGAAGACAGAAGGGACUAGGGUCCAACAUAGCAAGACUUAAAAGGGAUGAAACCCUAACGUGCCUAGCAAGAAUGUUAGGCCCGUCAACGUAAGCUUAAAGAAGAUCCAUACGCAACUUGUUCAAAAUAGCCCAAUCACCUUGACCUUGGCGAAGGAUGAGGCCGAGGUCGUCCUUCUUUGUUUGGGUCUAUUUGGGCCUUGGAAAAAUAAUUGUUUGGGUCAAAAAGCCCAAACCAGCCAACCUUGCCUCGACUUUAGCCUCGACCAAGGAUGAAUUAGAAUGAGACCUAGGCUAACCUUCCCCGUUUGAUGAACAAAGCAUAUGUUCUAUUUGAGCCAUGGAAAGAUAGUAUUUUCGGGUCAAAAGCCCAAACCAAACUCCUAUAUCCAUCCUUGGUCGAGAUCGAGCUUAACAAUUUAUAAACAGAAAAAACUCUGACCAAUUUAGCUUGAGAGAUAACAUAUUUUAAUUUAUCUAAGAUUAGGAAACUCGAUGGUUCAACAUGAGGUAACUAAAACUUUCGACUUCUUUAUUUAAAAAGUUUUGUUAUUGGGUUAGACAUCACACCUAUUUUUCUUUUGUUUUGCAAACCAUCUCCAUCUUAAAUUACAAAUCCAACUUAGAGUGGAACUUAGGUGUGUUUUUCCUUAAUUGGGCAUUGAUAGUUAUAUUUUAUUUUAUACAAAAUUAAUUGUUCAUAUUUGUAUUUAUAUUAUCAAUGUUGUUGUGAAAAUUAAAUUAGAUGCUUGAAUUUGUUUAUGUCAAUUUAUUGGUCAUUUUGAAGUGAAAGCAUAUGCAUGGAACUAUGGUUAAAAUUAAUGCUUUAAUUUGCUUAAUUUGGUCCCCCGUUCUGUAAAAUUAAUGUUUUAAUUAGUUUUAGUUAAUUAAAAACCCUAUCACUCUUUCUAUUGGGUUGCCAUAUCAAUUCUACAAACUCUUCACAUCACUCUCUCUUCUACAUGCCCAAUUCUACCCAAAGUUUUAUUCUAUUUAAUUACAUUUUAGGUGAUGACAAACCAUCUCUCACACGAAACCUGUCCAACGUCCUCAAACUUACAAGGUUGCUUUAGCCACAAAACCCGAACAUACAAACACAAAAUUCCAUUUUAUAUACAAUAUUUGACUUCCGCUUCAUUGCCGAUCUCACUUUUGACCGACAUCGUUCCUUAAUUUCAUCCAUCAAUAUAAUUAUUCAUGUAAUGUCUUUUUGACUUUAAGAGAAGAACAUGAACAAGCUGAGAUUACAUCCAAACGAAAGAGAUCCUAAUUAAGGACAUGGUAGUAUGGUAUAAAGAAAAACUUAGAAAAAUUAAAAGUCACUUUCUUCUAUACCAACAAGAAUCACUUUCCUUUUCGAUAAGGCAAUCAUAGUAACUCCAAACUUAAGCAUGUUUAACUUGAAAUUUUUUUACGUUGACUGACCUUCUUAGAUUUUUUUUAAGAUGAAUGUGAGUGAGAACAAAGUAUGUUGAAAUGACUUGUUGUUGGUUGUGGGGACAACUUUCACUCUAAUAAACCUUCAACAUAACUAAGAAUGACAAUGUUGUCAGGUUGUAGAGACAUAAGGAAAUGUCAGGGUCGUCAGUUACUGAAUUCAAUUUUGAAUCCUGGUUUGAAUCUUGAGCCUGAUGUGUUACACGAGAAGCAAGAAUGACAAUGUUAUUAGCCAGGUCAUAGGGGAUCUAGAGGAAUAUCAAGAUUGUUAGUUGACGAAUUCAGAUUCUGAAUCCUUAUUCGAAUCUUGGGCUUGAGGUGUUACACUUUUCCUAUUAAGCCUAAAUACCUUAAAGUGUGCAGAGAAUCAAUAUCAUAUACGUAUUUGAUAUUGAUACAUCCAUAUAUGUUGUAGGUACGUGAAAUAGAGUAUCUAUCUUUUAUUUAUUUAUUUAUUUCAAAUUCGUGAAGGGGAGAUGAGCCAAUCAAUGUUUUUUUUUUUUUUUUUUUGGUAUAUUUGUAAUGAGUUUUGACCCUAUAACUCAUAGCUCACCUAAUUUCAUACAAAUGUUAUAGAUACUAACAAAUUAAAUAAAUGAUAAAUAUAUAAAAAUUAAAAAACUUUAUCUGCUGAUAAAUACAUGCAUGCCCAUAUUAGUGUCAAUUGUCAAGUGUCAAAAACUAAUCAUCCCAUUUGUUGUGCAUGUUUCUUAAUAUGGUGCCAUAGUUUCUAUGUAAUCAUAUUGGUUGAAUUUCAAAACAAAUUGGAGAUAGUGGAGUUAGUUUAGAGUUUUGGGAAACUUUAUAUAUUUUUUUCCUAUUUUCUUAAUUUAUUUAAAAAAAAUAUAUUAUUUAUUUAAUAUUAUAUUUUCUCGAUAUCCAUAUUUUUGCUAUGUCUCAUUUUUACAACACGUUAUCAGCACGAGGUCCAACUGUUUCCUCUGUCGAAGGUACAUUUUGAAAUGUUACCAUGAAAAAUCUUGCAAAACUAGAACUUAUGGUCCUUCACAUUAAGGGUAGCAAUUAUUUACCAUAGGUUCUUGAUGGUGAGAUACAUCUCAAUGCCAUGAAUCUCGGAGAUACAAUUAAAGAAGUAAAUGGACUGACCCAUAAAGAAAAAAAUGAAAGCCAUGAUUUUCCAUUGUUAUCACAUUCAUGAGGAUUUGAAGUACUCAAAAUAUUUAACAAUAAAUGUAUAUGUGUGUACCAGUGAAGAAUACUAAAUGUAUAUAUGCAAUACUUCAGGUGUAUCAAACAUAUCACAUGCACCAAGCGUAUCAAAUUUGUUUAGUGUACUAAUGAAACAUAACAAGUUUAUUAAUAGUGCAUCAAGUGUAUCAAACUCAUCAUUGAAGCCUUUAAGUAUAUCAAAGCCUAAAGGGUAUCAAGUAUAUUAAGAAGAAUCAAGUGUAACAAAAAGUAUUAGGUGUUUCGAGUGUAUCAAAGGGUAUUGAGUAUAUCAAAGAGUAUUAUGGUGCAUCAAGUGUAUCAAAGGUCCAAAGCUUAUCAAGAAGUGUCAAAUAUAUAUUAAGUGUAUGAAGAAGUAUCAAAUGUAUCAGAUGUAUAUUAGUAACGAAGACAUUUGUGACAUUUUAUAUUUUGUACAUGUGGGUUGGGCUUU
rnacentral:lncRNA from 1 species